rnacentral:rRNA from 1 species
GAUGAACGCUGGCGGCGUGCCUAAUACAUGCAAGUCGAGCGAACGGACGAGAAGCUUGCUUCUCUGAUGUUAGCGGCGGACGGGUGAGUAACACGUGGAUAACCUACCUAUAAGACUGGGAUAACUUCGGGAAACCGGAGCUAAUACCGGAUGAUAUUUUGAACCGCAUGGUUCAAAAGUGAAAGACGGUCUUGCUGUCACUUAUAGAUGGAUCCGCGCUGCAUUAGCUAGUUGGUAAGGUAACGGCUUACCAAGGCAACGAUGCAUAGCCGACCUGAGAGGGUGAUCGGCCACACUGGAACUGAGACACGGUCCAGACUCCUACGGGAGGCAGCAGUAGGGAAUCUUCCGUAAUGGGCGAAAGCCUGACGGAGCAACGCCGCGUGAGUGAUGAAGGUCUUCGGAUCGUAAAACUCUGUUAUUAGGGAAGAACAUAUGUGUAAGUAACUGUGCACAUCUUGACGGUACCUAAUCAGAAAGCCACGGCUAACUACGUG